AGAGUUUGAUCAUGGCUCAGGACGAACGCUGGCGGCGUGCCUAAUACAUGCAAGUCGAGCGGACAGAAGGGAGCUUGCUCCCGGAUGUUAGCGGCGGACGGGUGAGUAACACGUGGGUAACCUGCCUGUAAGACUGGGAUAACUCCGGGAAACCGGAGCUAAUACCGGAUAGUUCCUUGAACCGCAUGGUUCAAGGAUGAAAGACGGUUUCGGCUGUCACUUACAGAUGGACCCGCGGCGCAUUAGCUAGUUGGUGGGGUAAUGGCUCACCAAGGCGACGAUGCGUAGCCGACCUGAGAGGGUGAUCGGCCACACUGGGACUGAGACACGGCCCAGACUCCUACGGGAGGCAGCAGUAGGGAAUCUUCCGCAAUGGACGAAAGUCUGACGGAGCAACGCCGCGUGAGUGAUGAAGGUUUUCGGAUCGUAAAGCUCUGUUGUUAGGGAAGAACAAGUGCGAGAGUAACUGCUCGCACCUUGACGGUACCUAACCAGAAAGCCACGGCUAACUACGUGCCAGCAGCCGCGGUAAUACGUAGGUGGCAAGCGUUGUCCGGAAUUAUUGGGCGUAAAGGGCUCGCAGGCGGUUUCUUAAGUCUGAUGUGAAAGCCCCCGGCUCAACCGGGGAGGGUCAUUGGAAACUGGGAAACUUGAGUGCAGAAGAGGAGAGUGGAAUUCCACGUGUAGCGGUGAAAUGCGUAGAGAUGUGGAGGAACACCAGUGGCGAAGGCGACUCUCUGGUCUGUAACUGACGCUGAAGAGCGAAAGCGUGGGGAGCGAACAGGAUUAGAUACCCUGGUAGUCCACGCCGUAAACGAUGAGUGCUAAGUG
rnacentral:rRNA from 1 species